UGGUCCAGGAUGAAACCUAAUCUGA
rnacentral:piRNA from 1 species